AAUAGUGCAAGAGAAAGAUUGAAUUUUUCAUUCCCGCUAACAACAAAGUUUGACUCCAUCAUUUUAUCGCAACUUAAAAAUCUGACUCCAAAGUUGUAUGGGUUCUUUUCUUUGCUCGUUUCUCUCCAGAAAUUUCCCCACUCCAUUUUCCUCUCUGCUCAAAUCUCUCAGAUCUAUCCGUUCAAAUCACAAAUUAAGACCCAUCUGUUAUCGACCCAAAUGCCCUAAUCUGAAAUUGUGACUCGAUCAGUUAUGUGCUUGAAUCUCAAGUUCAAAUCCUUUUUUCAGUCGUGAAUGAUGAUUUCAACAAUUUUACAUUUGAUUUCGCAGGAUUUGCGCAAGUCUUGGCUAGGGUGAAUUUUGCUUUUAGGGCAAAUUGGUUGCUUCCAUACCGGUGCUACUGUUGCAUUCAUGUGCUUAAUAAUUUGUUCAGUUGCAAGACUGUAAAGUGGAAGAAAUAAUAAAUAGAGUUAUAGGUUGAAAAGGGGGAGCACUAUCCUAUUUUUCUUGAUAAUUCACAUUGCUCUAGCACAAGGGAUCAUCUCUGCGAUUUCAGAAGAAGCAAUCACCCAGUUUGAAGCAUUUACGGAGCAAGUUGAUGAAGCACUCAACACUACUUUUCAGGCAUAAACUCCAGUGGCUUUUCCCAGGACUUUGGGUCUCUUCCAAUGGCCCAAGCAUUCACGAUUACUUGAGUGUUCUUGGG